GUCCUUGUCGAUUAGUGGUUAAAUCAUCUCGUUGUGGUUACUACUACUCCGAGAAGCCGGAAGUUCGAAUCCUCCCUGGGACA
rnacentral:tRNA from 1 species